rnacentral:rRNA from 1 species
GGAAUCUUCUGGAACAUUACUGACGCUGAGGCGCGAAAGCGUGGGGAGCAAACAGGAUUAGAUACCCUGGUAGUCCACGCCCUAAACGAUGAAUGUUAGUCGUCGGGUAGCUAGUCUAUUCGGUGAUGCAGUUAACGCAUUAAACAUUCCGCCUGGGGAGUACGGUCGCAAGAUUAAAACUCAAAGGAAUAGACCGGGACCCGCACAAGUGGUGGAGCAUGUGGUUUAAUUCGAAGAUACGCGAAGAACCUUACCUAGCCUUGACAUAUUUAGAACACUUUAGAGAUAGAGUGGUGCUUCGGGAGCUAAUAUACAGGUGCUGCACGGCUGUCGUCAGCUCGUGUCGUGAGAUGUUGGGUUAAGUCCCGCAACGAGCGCAACCCUCGUCACUAGUUACUAACGGUUCGGCCGAGGACUCUAGUGAGACUGCCUUCGCAAGGAGGAGGAAGGUGAGGACGACGUCAAGUCAUCACGGCCCUUACGGCUAGGGCAACACACGUGCUACAAUGGCCAGGACAAUGAGAAGCGAUACCGCGAGGUGGAGCAAAUCUAUAAACCUGGUCUCAGUUCGGAUUGUAGUCUGCAACUCGACUACAUGAAGCUGUAAUCACUAGUAAUCGUAGAUCAGCUAUGC